ACUCCUACGGGAGGCAGCAGUGAGGAAUCUUGCGCAAUGGAGGAAACUCUGACGCAGCCACGCCGCGUGCAGGAAGACACCCCUCAGGGGCGUAAACUGCUUUUAUACGAGAAGAACACCCUGCUCGGCAGGGUCUGACGGUAUCGUAUGAAUAAGGACCGGCUAACUACGUGCCAGCAGCCGCGGUAAUA
rnacentral:rRNA from 1 species